AGUGAACGCUGGCGGUAGGCCUAACACAUGCAAGUCGAACGGCAGCACAGUAAGAGCUUGCUCUUACGGGUGGCGAGUGGCGGACGGGUGAGGAAUACAUCGGAAUCUACUUUUUCGUGGGGGAUAACGUAGGGAAACUUACGCUAAUACCGCAUACGACCUACGGGUGAAAGCAGGGGAUCUUCGGACCUUGCGCGAUUGAAUGAGCCGAUGUCGGAUUAGCUAGUUGGCGGGGUAAAGGCCCACCAAGGCGACGAUCCGUAGCUGGUCUGAGAGGAUGAUCAGCCACACUGGAACGGAGACACGGUCCAGACUCCUACGGGGGGCAGCAGUGGGGAAUAUUGGACAAUGGGGGCAAGCCUGAUCCAGCCAUACCGCGUGGGUGAAGAAGGCCUUCGGGUUGUAAAGCCCUUUUGUUGGGAAAGAAAAGCAGCAGGUUAAUACCCCGCUGUUCUGACGGUACCCAAAGAAUAAGCACCGGCUAACUUCGUG
rnacentral:rRNA from 1 species